GUACACGCUGUGACUAGCAUAUCAAUAAGCGGAGGAAAAGAAACUAACAAGGAUUCCCCUAGUAACGGCGAGUGAAGCGGGGAAGAGCUCAAAUUUGAAAUCUUAAAGGGGUUUCCCUUUACGAAUUGUAGUUUAAAGAAGUGUUUUCUGUUGAGGUUUUGGUAAAAGUUCUUUGGAAUAGGACAUCAUAGAGGGUGAGAAUCCCGUAUUUGACCUUUACUUUCAACUUUGUGAUACACUUUCAAAGAGUCGGAUUGUUUGGGAAUGCAGUCCAAAAUGGGUGGUAAAUUUCAUCUAAAGCUAAAUAUUGGCGAGAGACCGAUAGCGAACAAGUACCGUGAGGGAAAGAUGAAAAGAACUUUGAAAAGAGAGUUAAACAGUACGUGAAAUUGUCAAAAGGGAAGCGUUUGACACCAGUGUUGUUUUUCUGAAAAUCAAUUAAAGAACUGUUUAUGCUAAGUUGUUUAGACUUUAUCAGCUAACUGUUUAGUUUUGAGCUUUUCUUUAAUGCACUUUUCAGUUAACAAGUCAACAUCAAUUUCUUUUGCUGUAAAAAAGCUUGAGGAAGGUGGCUUGAGAUUCGUCUUAAGUGUUUAUAGCCUCUUGCCUAUGCAGUCAGAGAGAUUGAGGUCUGCAGCGUAGAUCCUUCGGGGCUAAAUGCAUUUGUGCUAAGUUAUAGCAUUUUAUAGACAACUUGUUGACUAUGAUUUGUCUUGUAGCUUACUCGCUUAUGUUAUUUUACCUACGCUUAGGAUGUUGACUGAUAUGUAGUCGUA
rnacentral:rRNA from 1 species